UAUGUUUUUACAAUCACGACAUUCCUAUUCAACCGAUAAUGUGGUUUCAUUUCAAAACGACAAAGACAUAUUAUAUUCUAUUCAUUACAGUUAUUUUUGUUAGUAAUAUUUUUAAAACACAUCAGUUUAAAAAUGUUAAUCCGAUGCAGUCAAUGGAAUCAUUUUUAGAAGAUUUAAAUGUGCGGAAUAAAGGUUACCAAAAAAUUAAUAAAAGUGUCUCAGAGCAACACGAUGUAUACAAAAAAAAUCAGAACAUUCCAUCAAAUGUUGUACUAAUGAUGAAACUCAUAUCUUAUUACGAGGAUAAAUUUAAAGUUGCCAAUCACGAACCAACCGAGAGAGACACAACUUCCUUCUCUGUACGAAUAGAGAAGGAAAAUAAUAACGGAAACAGAGUAAUACAAAGAGUCGGGUUUAAACCCA